ACAUUGCCUUGUGAUUCCUAUAUACAAGGUACAUCCUGCCCAGUGAAUUUUUCAACGGCCGCAGUACCCUGACUGUGCUAAGGUAGCAUAAUAAUUUGCCUCUUAAUUAGAGGCUAGAAUGAAUGGAUAAACGAAAGUAUUACUGUUUCUUAUAAAUAACUAAAAAUUUAUAUUUAGGUGAAAAAGCCUAAAUUAAUUUAAAAGACAAAAAGACCCUGCAGAGCUUAAUACUAAUUUUCUAAUUUAGAAUUAAAAUAUUUUGUUGGGGCGACAAAAGAUAAUUUAAAGCAUCUUUAAAAUAUAAGAAAUACUUUUCUAUUAAUAGAUCCUAAUAAGAUCAAAGAUUAAAGCUACCUCAGGGAUAACAGGCUUAUCUUUCUCAAGAGUUCAAAUCAACAGAAAGUUUUGGCACCUCGAUGUUGGCUUAGAAUUCCAAGUAAUGCAGCAGUUACUUUAGGUAGGUUUGUUCAACCUUUAAAAUUCUACGUGAUCU
rnacentral:rRNA from 1 species